CGCAGCCGCGGUAAUUCCAGCUCCAAUAGCGUAUAUUAAAGUUGUUGCAGUUAAAAAGCUCGUAGUUGAACUUCGGGGUUUACUCAUUGGUCAGGCUUAAUUGUCUGUACUGGUGAGAUGAAUCUCUACCUUCUGAGGAACUUUCAUGCCAUUUAUUUGGUGUGGUUGGAAAUCAGGACUGUUACUUUGAAAAAAUUAGAGUGUUUAAAGCAGGCUAACGUCUGAAUACAUUAGCAUGGAAUAAUGAAAUAGGACGGAUUGAUUCUAUUUCGUUGGUUUCUAGGGUCACCGUAAUGAUUAAUAGGGAUAGUUGGGGGCAUUAGUAUUCAAUUGUCAGAGGUGAAAUUCUUGGAUUUAUUGAAGACUAACUACUGCGAAAGCAUUUGCCAAGGAUGUUUUCAUUAAUCAAGAACGAAAGUUAGGGGAUCGAAGACGAUCAGAUACCGUCGUAGUCUUAACCAUAAACUAUGCCGACUAGGGAUCGGACGAAGUUAAUUAAUAAUGACGCGUUCGGCACCUU
rnacentral:misc_RNA from 1 species